UAUAUUAAAGUUGUUGCAGUUAAAAAGCUCGUAGUUGGAUUUCGGAAGGUCCUUAGUAAUCCGCCCCUUCGGGGAGCGGGUUGCUGGCCUCCUAUGUUCCUAACGGUCCUCACUCGCGAGGGUGGGGAAUCAACCGCUAGGAUCGUUUACUUUGAGGAAAUUAGAGUGUUCAAAGCAGGCGUAACUCGCCUCCGAAUACGUUAGCAUGGGAUAAUGGAAUACGACUUCGGUCUUGUUUCGUUGGUUUCGCUUGGCUGAAGUAAUGAUUGAUAGGGACAGUUGGGGGCAUUAGUAUUUAGUUGUCAGAGGUGAAAUUCUAGGAUUUACUAAAGACUGACCAAUGCGAAAGCAUUUGCCAAGGAUGUUUUCAUUAAUCAAGAACGAAAGUAGGGGGAUCGAAGACGAUCAGAUACCGUCGUAGUCUCUACCGUAAACUAUGCCGACCAGGGAUCCGGAGAGUUUGCAUGGAUGACUCCCCGGGCACCUUGUGAGAAAUCAUAAGUGUUUGGGUUUUGGGGGGAGUAUGGUCGCAAGGCUGAAACUUAAAGGAAUUGACGGAAGGGCACCACCAGGAGUGGAACCUGCGGCUUAAUUUGACUCAACACGGGGAAACUUACGAGGUCAGGACACUGUGAGGAUUGACAGAUUGAAAGCUCUUUCUUGAUUCAGUGGGUGGUGGUGCAUGGCCGUUCUUAGUUGGUGGAGUGAUUUGUCUGGUUAAUUCCGUUAACGAACGAGACCUUAACCUGCUAAAUAGUCACGCGAACCGGUCCGCAAGGGCUCAAAGUUCGCGGCUCGACUUCUUAGAGGGACUAUUCGCACCCGCCAGCGAAUGGAAGUUUGAGGCAAUAACAGGUCUGUGAUGCCCUUAGAUGUUCUCGGCCGCACGCGCGUUACACUGACGGAGUCAACGAGCGUUUUUCCUUGCCCGAUAGGGUUGGGUAACCUCCUGAAACUCCGUCGUGAUGGGGAUAGAUCAUUGCAAUUAUUGAUCUUGAACGAGGAAUUCCUAGUAGGCGCGAGUCAUCAACUCGCGCCGAUUACGUCCCUGCCCUUUGUACACACCGCCCGUCGCUCCUACCGAUUGAACGGUCCGGCGAGAACUCCGGAUGGUCGGCACGCAGGGGUCAAACCCUGUGUCCGUGCCAGAAGCUGUUCGAACCUUACCGUUU
rnacentral:rRNA from 1 species